rnacentral:rRNA from 1 species
UACGUAGGUGGCGAGCGUUGUCCGGAUUUACUGGGCGUAAAGAGCGCGCAGGCGGCUGGUCAAGUCCGAUGUGAAAGCUCCCGGCUUAACUGGGAAAUUGCAUCGGAAACUGAUCGGCUGGAAGGUGGGAGAGGGUAGCGGAAUUCCCGGUGUAGUGGUGAAAUGCGUAGAUAUCUGGAGGAAUACCGGUGGCGAAGGCGGCAUCCUGGACCGACAUUGACGCUGAUGAGCGAAAGCUAGGGGAGCAAACGGG